rnacentral:rRNA from 1 species
UGCCAGCAGCCGCGGUAAUACGGAGGGUGCAAGCGUUAUCCGGAUUUAUUGGGUUUAAAGGGUUCGUAGGCGGCCACUUAAGUCAGGGGUGAAAUUCCACGGCCCAACCGUGGAACGGCCUCUGAUACUGAGUGGCUUGAGUGUGCUAGGGGUAAGCGGAACGUGUAGUGUAGCGGUGAAAUGCGUAGAUAUUACACGGAAGGCCGGAGGCGAAGGCGGCUUACUGGGGCACAACUGACGCUGAGGAACGAAAGCGUGGGGAGCAAACAGGAUUAGAUA